UGGGGUUUGGUUGAAAGCUUUAGUGGUUUUGGAUGGACUCGCGGCCUAUCAGCUUGUUGGUGAGGUAAUGGCUCACCAAGGCGACGACGGGUAGCCGGCCUGAGAGGGUGACCGGCCACACUGGGACUGAGACACGGCCCAGACUCCUACGGGAGGCAGCAGUGGGGAAUAUUGCACAAUGGGCGAAAGCCUGAUGCAGCGACGCCGCGUGAGGGAUGACGGCCUUCGGGUUGUAAACCUCUUUCAGUAGGGAACAAGGCUACACGUUGUGUGGUUGAGGGUACUUGCAGAAGAAGCACCGGCUAACUACGUGCCAGCAGCCGCGGUAAUACGUAGGGUGCAAGCGUUAUCCGGAAUUAUUGGGCGUAAAGAGCUCGUAGGCGGUUUGUCGCGUCUGCCGUGAAAGUCCGGGGCUCAACCCCGGAUCUGCGGUGGGUACGGGCAGACUAGAGUGAUGUAGGGGAGACUGGAAUUCCUGGUGUAGCGGUGAAAUGCGCAGAUAUCAGGAGGAACACCGAUGGCGAAGGCAGGUCUCUGGGCAUUAACUGACGCUGAGGAGCGAAAGCAUGGGGAGCGAACAGGAUUAGAUACCCUGGUAGUCCAUGCCGUAAACGUUGGGCACUAGGUGUGGGGGACAUUCCACGUUUUCCGCGCCGUAGCUAACGCAUUAAGUGCCCCGCCUGGGGAGUACGGCCGCAAGGCUAAAACUCAAAGGAAUUGACGGGGGCCCGCACAAGCGGCGGAGCAUGCGGAUUAAUUCGAUGCAACGCGAAGAACCUUACCAAGGCUUGACAUGAACUGGAAACGCUUGGAAACAAGUGCCCCGCUUGCGGCCGGUUUACAGGUGGUGCAUGGUUGUCGUCAGCUCGUGUCGUGAGAUGUUGGGUUAAGUCCCGCAACGAGCGCAACCCUCGUUCUAUGUUGCCAGCACGUGAUGGUGGGGACUCAUAGGAGACUGCCGGGGUCAACUCGGAGGAAGGUGAGGACGACGUCAAAUCAUCAUGCCCCUUAUGUCUUGGGCUUCACGCAUGCUACAAUGGCCGGUACAAUGGGUUGCGAUACUGUGAGGUGGAGCUAAUCCCAAAAAGCCGGUCUCAGUUCGGAUUGGGGUCUGCAACUCGACCCCAUGAAGUCGGAGUCGCUAGUAAUCGCAGAUCAGCAACGCUGCGGUGAAUACGUUCCCGGGCCUUGUACACACCGCCCGUCAAGUCACGAAAGUUGGUAAC
rnacentral:rRNA from 1 species